CCAUCAGUAGGUGCAACUCUUUCCAACACCCUUCAGUAGUGUGCUUACCUUGUAUCCUUCAGUAGAUACAUAAAUAAUUAGCAUCCCCCAGUAGAUGUUGUCCAAUAAAAUUUGUUUACAAAUCCAAAAAUUACAAGUCCAAAUAAUCCAAAAUAAAAAAAAAUAAUGUUAUACAAGUACUGGGGUGCCUUCCAGUAAGCUCAUAUCUUCUCUUCCAUGUUGAUAUCUUCGUCACACCAACUCAUCAAUUCCUUUCUAUCCACCCUCUUGAUUCUUCUGAAGUAUGGACUUUCACUUUCUACUACUCCUUUCUUUCUAUGCUUUUUCACCAUCCACUCCUUCUUAUAUUUCACCCUUGAACCAGGUUGGAAUGAUGCGUCCUCUGAGUCAAUGUGGAUUGUGCCUCCUUUAUCAACAUCUUCUUCUUUAUGUAACUGCAAAAUAUUACAAUUAUUAUUGUUAACACCUUUAGAUUUUCCAUCUGUAGCAUCUUUUCUUGAAGCUUUAUAUCUGGCCCUCUUUUGUAUUCGUGUGAGCUUCUCCUCAGAGCUAGUAUAAAUCAA
rnacentral:lncRNA from 1 species